rnacentral:rRNA from 1 species
UACAGAGGGGGCAAGCGUUGUUCGGAAUUACUGGGCGUAAAGGGCGCGUAGGCGGCCUUCUAAGUCGAACGUGAAAUCCCCGGGCUCAACCCGGGAACUGCGUCCGAUACUGGAAGGCUUGAAUCCGGGAGGAGGGAUGUGGAAUUCCAGGUGUAGCGGUGAAAUGCGCAGAUAUCAGGAGGAACACCAACGGCGAAGGCAGCUCGCUGGGACGGUACUGACGCUAAGGCGCGAAAGCGUGGGGAGCGAACAG